rnacentral:rRNA from 1 species
GAUCAUGGCUCAGGAUAAACGCUAGCGGCAGGCCUAACACAUGCAAGUCGAGGGGCAGCAGGGAAGUAGCUUGCUACUUCUGCUGGCGACCGGCGCACGGGUGCGUAACGCGUAUGCAACCUACCUUUAACAGGGGGGAUAAUCCGAAGAAAUUUGGUCUAAUACCCCAUAAUAUUGAUUAAGGCAUCUUGAUCAGUUGAAAGUUCCGACGGUUAAAGAUGGGCAUGCGUUGUAUUAGCUAGUUGG